rnacentral:rRNA from 1 species
UGAGGAAUAUUGGUCAAUGGGGGCAACCCUGAACCAGCCAAGUCGCGUGAAGGAUGAAGGUCUUAUGGAUUGUAAACUUCUUUUAUACAGGAAUAAAUUGGGGGCCGUGUCCCCUUUUGCAUGUACUGUAUGAAUAAGGAUCGGCUAACUCCGUGCCAGCAGCCGCGGUAAUACGGAGGCUCCGAGCGUUAUCCGGAUUUAUUGGGUUUACAGGGUGCGCAGGCGGGAUGUUAAGUCGGCGGUGAAAUUUUGCAGCUCAACUGUAAAAGUUCCUGCGCUACUCGCAUCCUAGAGAGUGGAUGAAGGAGGCGGAAGUUGUGGUGUAGCGGCGAAAGGCUUCGAUAGCACGAGGAACGCCGAUUGCGCAGGCAGCUUACUAAGCCACAACGGACGCUCAGGCACGAAGGCGUGGGGA